AUAGGUCAUCAUGGCCUUGUUGUUUCCAAGUUGUCUAGGUGUUGACAGUAGAUAACAUAUUCAGUAGGAUUUGGAGAGUGAUAAAGGUGUCAAGUUGUUAAACUUUCUUCUUUGUCAAUUUUGAAAUCAAUCCUUCAUUGUAUAAACUGUACAUGUACGUAUCAUAUUAAGAGUUGGAGAUCUUACUGGCAUAUAUUUAUUUUACCAGGUGAUCAUAUGAUAUCAGUGAUUGGUUUACAACAGUUACAUGGACAGUGGAACAUGUCAGAUCAGCUGUUACAACUACUGGGUGUAACGAAAGAAGAUGUGAACAAAUUAACAUUUUCUAAGGAUUCUAGUGUUGUUUGUACAGUGUUGGUUCUUGCUUGGUUACAUAAACAGUUUUCACAAAGACAAGAAGAGUGGCAGAUGAUAGAAGCAAAAGCACUUGCCUGGAUAUCUACUCAAAGUCCUAGCUUUACAACAGAGGAACACAUUAAACACAUUACAGAAGUGAUGUGGACCAAGUAAUAAUGUUCAUACAUGUAUAUAUAGUCAUAUGUAUAGAGAACUAUCUAUGAAUCAUUAUUUCUAAUCAACCUUUAUGAAAAUAGCACAGAAAAAUGUUGUUCAGCAAGCCUCUAGCAAGCUUAAAGAUAUACCUUGCUCUAAUUUGAUACUAGAAAAAAUGAUAAUUUAAACUCUACACACUUAAGGUGGUCACAAAAUGAAUAUAUAGUGUCAUUAAAAAAACUGGCAGUUUUUUAAGGAAAGACCAACUUUACUUGACCUGCAUUAGGAGAUGCAGCCCAUCAUACAUAGUUUAUUCUUAUUUUUUUAUUCAAAUUAGACAUAUACAGUAAGAAUUCCAUAGAUUACAAUAAACUUCUAUGAUUAAAAUAUUUAACUCAAGGAUGAGCAUAGUACUGUGCAUCUAACUUUUUCACAGACAAGUUUGAUGAGGAUUUAUAUAAUAUGAGUGAUCCAGAAUGCCAGAUUACUUUCAUGUAAAAAAAUAUAGAAGGUAGGAAAUGAAAUUCCUUUCAUUUAUCAAAAAGGGUUUGCAUAAACUUAAAAGACACCAAAAUGAUUGUCAUGAAAUAGUACUCUCAAAAUAAUUUCCUAUGACAUUUGUUGUGAUUUGUUGAUUUUCAUGUCCUUAAAGUGUGUUAUUCUUUAUUGUCCCCCGCCUUUUCGAAGAAAAAAGGGGGAUAUAGAAAUAGGCUCCGUCCGUCUGUCCGUCCGCACUCACAGGAGAGUAAUUAUGUGGCUAGAGGGACAAUAGGUUACUGUUCUUUCUCUUUGAUGUCAUUUAUUCGGUAAUGCUUUUUUGUGGCUAUUUUCUUUUGGGUGGCUAAAAAGAACAAUAGAGGGAACAAUAGAGUAGCUACAUAAUUACUGUCCUGUGAGAACGUCCGUCCCUCUGUCCGUCCGUCUGCACUCACAGGAGAGUAAUUAUGUGGCUAGAGGGACAAUAGGUAACUGUUCUUUCUCUUUGAUGUCAUUCAUUCCUUAAUGCUUUUAUGUGGCUAUUUUCUUUUGUGUGGCUAAAAAGAACAAUAGAGAGAACAAUGGAGUAGCCACAUAAUUACUCUCCUGUUAGAACUUCCGUCCGUCCGUCACACUUUCGUGUCCGGUCCAUAACUUUGUCAUUUAUGAAAGGAAUUUGAAAUAACUUGGCACAAAUGUUUAUUAUAAUAAGACGAUGUGUCAUGCGCAACAACCAGACCCCUACCUCCAGGGUCAAGGUCACACUUGCUCAUUCAAGGUCAACAUUGCCUAUUUGAGGGUAUUUUUUUGUCCGGUCCAUAACUUUCUUAUCUAUGAAGGGAUUUUGUAAAUACUUGCCAUAAUUGUUCACAAUAAUCAGACGAUGUGUCAUGUGCAAAAACCAGUCACCUACCUUCAAGGUCAAGGUCACACUUGGAGGUCAAAUAUUAACAUAGUCUGUUACAGGGUAUAUUUGGUGUCCGGUCCAUAACUUUGUCAUUUAUCAAAGGAAUUUGAGAUAACUUGGCACAAAUUUUUGUUAUAAUAAGACGAUGUGUCAUGCGCAAAACCAGACCCGUACCUUCAGGGUCAAGGUCGUACUUUCUCAUUCAAGGUCAACAUUGUCUAUUUGAGGGUAUAUGUCGUGUCCGGUCCAUAACUUUCUUAUCUAUGAAGGACUUUUGUAAAUACUUGCCAUAAUUGUUCACAAUAAUCAGAUAAUGUGUCAUGCGCAAAAACCGGUCACCUACCUCCAAGGUCAAGGUCACACUUGGAGGUCAAAUACUAACAUAGUCUGUUACAGGGUAUAUUUUGUGUCCGGUCUAUAACUUUUUCAUAGAUCAAAGGAUUUUGAAAAUACUUCGCACAAAUAGUCACUAUAAUAAAAGGAUGUGUCAUGCGCAACACCUGCAUCCCUACCUCCAAGGUCAAGGUCACACUUAGAGGUCAAAAAUUAACAUAGUCUGUUAUAGGGUAUAUUUUGUGUCGAAUCUAGAACUUCUUCAUAGUUCAAGGGAUUUUGAAAUAACUUGGCACAUAUAGUCACAAUAAUAAGCCGAUAUGUCAGGUACAACACCUGCACCCCUACCUCUUAAGGUCAAGGUCACACUUAGAGGUCAAAGGUUAACAGAGACUGUUAUUUGGUGUAUUUAUUGUCCCAUCCAUUACUUCUUCAUAGAUUAAGGGAUAUUGAAAAUACUUGGCACAAAUAGUCACAAUGAUUAGAUGAUAUGUCAUGCGUAACAUCUGUGUCCCUACCUCCAAGGUCAAGGUCACACUUAGAGGUCAAAGAUUUACAUAGUCUGUUAUAGGGUAUAUUUUGUGUCCAAUCUAUAACUUCUUCAUAGUUCAAGAGAUUUUGAAAAUACUUGGCACAAUUAGUCUCAAUAAUAAGACGUUAUGUCAUGCAUAACACCUGCUCCCCUACCUCCAAGGUCAAGGUCACACUUAGAGGUCAAAGCUUAACAUGAUAGAUUUUUAAAUUCUGUGUUUCAUUUUAUUUUUUUAACAAAUUUAUUGUUACAUUUGCAGAUCUAGCAUUGAUCAUAAUUUUGGACUGAAUGUCCUGAGAUCCAUACCUCAAUCUUUUGAAAUAGCACAAUUUUAAGCUUCAUAUAAAACUUCCGGGGCGGGGGACGUUGAUAACUCUGUUACAAAUUCUUGUUCAUGUACAACCUAGUUACAUGUUGUCAUGCAUUUUGUAUUCUACUGUAACAGUGGUUGUUAAAAGCAUUUUUUGUGUCGCCUCUACGGAGUAGUGGCGACAUAUAGGGAUCACUUCUCCGUCGUCUGUCUGUCCGUCUGUCAGUCCGUCACAAAACUUGUCCGGACUACUCCUCAUAAACUACUGGUGCAAUUUUAUCCAAACUUUACAGGGAUGAUCAGUACCAAGUCUAGUUGUGUAUAUUGUCAGCAUUUUCCGGGUCAAUGAUUUUUGUCAGAGUUAUGGCCCCUUAAUAAUUUUUAUUUUUAAAGUUUGUCCGGACUACUUCUCUUAUACCACUAAUGCAAUUUCAAUGAAACUUUACAGGAUUGAUCUGUAGCUCAAGUCCUUGCGCAUAUUGCACGGGUUUUCUGGUUGAAUGAUUUUUGGCUGAGUUAUGGCCCUUUGAUAAAAAGGUGUUUUUUUCUAUGUGUUGCCAGAUACACAAAAGCUUGUCCGGACUACUCCUCAUAAACUACUGGUGCAAUUUUAUCCAAACUUUACAGGAAUGAUCAGUACCAAGUCUAGUUGUGCACUGUCCGUCUGUCUGUCCGUCUGUCACAAAACUUGUCCCAACAUGAAAUUGGCCAUCAUGAGGCGACACAUGUGAUCACUGAUCGCUCUUGUUUUUUUUUUGUUAUUGUAUAUCACAUGAUUGGUAUAAGUUUUGCAUAUCAUCUUAAUUUAUAACAUUAACUUGUUGCACCUAUAAUAUGAUUAUUUAUAGCAUUUUAUAUAACAUUAUAAUAUUAUAUUUCAGUCAGAUAUUUUUGAAGGGAAACUAUUUAUUUACCAUAAUUAUGCAUAUAUUUUAUAAUAUUCUAUAAAUGGAGAAUUAUAUUUUUCCACCUGUUUGCUGGUUUAGUGCCUUGUUUUCUUGGAUGUGGUUAAAGAGUUUUCUACAACUAUGCUACCUAAUAUGUAAUUUAAUAUAGACAAUUUUACCAUGCAAUUUUGCAUUUAGUUUAUUUUCCCUGUGAUGCUAAAAUAGUUUCAAACCAACAUGUGCGAAAAGGACUUUUAAUCUGUGAUAUCUCUCUAAAUUAAUUGAAAAAGUGACAUACAUUUUCUGUAUGUCAUAAUGUGCAAUCCAUGCAUUUUACAUAAAUUCAGAUUUUUUGUUAAUUGAUUCGAAAUUUACUUAUUUCAUUAUUUUAGAUGCUGAGUAUAAUAUUAUGUGAUUUUGUUUUAGUAUAUUACAAGAAUAGCAAUCUGUUCUUUUUGGCUGUUUUGCCUUAACCUGAAACUUGUUAAAUUUUGUAAGAUGUAAAUAUUUUAGGAUUCUGUCAUUUUAAUGCUGGAGAUUAUUUGAUUUGGAUGGAUGGAUUUUAGCUUGACUAUUCGAAGAAUAUGGAGAGCUGUUGCAGUUGCCCCAGCGUCCACGUCUUCGUCUGCUUUGGUUAAAGUUUUUUUGUUAAGUCAAAUAUCUCAAUUAUUGCUUGAGAUAUUCAAUUGAAACUUACAAUACCUAUUUAUAGUAACAAUGUACAUCAGAUUGACAAGUUGGAUAACUCUACCUAGAAUAUUUACAGAAUUAUGCCCCUUUUUAACUUAGAAAUUUUGGUUAAAGUUUUUGUAAAGUCAAAUAUCUCAAUUAUUGCUUGAAAUAUUCAAUUGAAAUAUACAAUACUUUUUUAUAGUAACAAUGUACAUCAGUUUGCAAAGUUGCAUAACUCUGCCUGCAAUAUUUACAGAAUUAUGCCCCUUUGAAACUUAGAAAUUAUGGUUAAAGAUUAAAGGUCUUAAGAACUAUCAAAGAUAUUUAGUUGAAACUUUACACAUGUACUUAGAGUCAUAAUUGAAGGUCACAUCUCAAGAUCUAUUACUCUGGUAUUUUGACUGAAUUAUGCUCCCUUUUAUACUAAAAAAAUCUCAUUUGCUUGGUUAAGUUUUGCAUGCAAGUUUUGCAUAUCUCUGAAACUAUUUAAGAUACAAACUUGAAACUUCAUAUGUAUAUUUGGGGUAAUAAAGAUCACUGAACAGCACUCAUAUCUGUGUCAUGUAUUUAGGCUGAUUUAUCUCCCCUUUUUUACUUAGUUUCUUGAUUAAUGUUUACAUGUAAGUUUUACAUAUCUCAAUAACUAUCAGAGAUUUUGAUUUGAAACUUCACAUAUGCAUGAAGGGUCAUAAUUGUAUGUCACUGACCAAGUUCCAUAACUCUAUCUUGCAUUUAGGCUGAUUUAUCUCCCCCUUUCUACUUAGUCUCUUGAUUAAUGUUUACAUGCAAGUUUUACAUAUCUCAAUAACUAUCAAAGAUAUUUAUUUAAAACUUCACAUAUGCAUUUAGGGUCAUAAUUGUAGGUCACUGACCAAGAUCCAUAAUUCUAUCUUGCAUUUAGGCUGAUUUUUCUCCCCUUUUGAACUUUAUAUUUAGAUCAACAUAAAGGUGCAAUAAUUAUUACAGAACAAUCAUUAUCAUUUCCAAAGGUAUUUUUCUCUCAAUACAUUUCCUUUUCUAACAUGACUGUCCAUUCAAACUCCAACACAUCCAUUACAAAACUGCUAACUUGUUCCUUGAUUUUAAAAGGAAUUUGUUGGAUAUACUUUUAUAAACAAUAAUUGAUAAUCCUGAUAAUUUAAUCUUUUUUACACAUUUUUGUUCACAGGUAGAGGCUUUUUUUAUAAUUAAUGUGUACUCUUGUGUACAGAAGUACUUAACAAAAAAAAGUACUUUUGCUAUCAUAAUUAUUCACAUCUUUAUUAAGACACCUUUACACAUUGCAAUUUGACGGUAAGUGCACUUUGUUUGAAAGUGUUUUUGCUUUGUUCAAAUGUUUAUUUGCUUUUAUGAUAUUCAGAUUCUUAUUAGUAACUUAAGCUUAUGAUGGCAUCUUCCCUUUUGUAUAUUCAUACAUACUUAUAAAAAGUACCAGUUGUUUCAAAUAUAACUGCAUCUUUUUGAAUAAAUAUUUCAAUUUUCACUUGCAGUACUUCAAACUUCUUUUCAAAAGUCAUGUUCAUUAUUAUAUUCUGAUAAAUAUAAAAUGCAUUUCCACUAAACCAGCCGGGCUAGUGCAUAGGUAGAGUGCUGGUCUGUCAAAAAGUAGACCUGUAUUCAAUCCCUGUCCUUUCCAUCAGUCUAAUGCCAUUAUUUUGAUAACUGUUCUAAUUGUCGAGCAUGCUGUCAUCGGACAGCUGUGAUUUGCUUAUUUCCAAAUUUAUGCCCUUUUUUAUACUCAAUUAACAUGAUUGGCACAGGUCCCAUCACUCUGAUUUACAUAUUUAUGCCCCUUUUUUAUAUCUAAUGAAACAUCCUUGUGACAACUCUAUCGAAUAGUCGAGCAUUGCUGUCCUCCGACAGCUCUUGUUAUAUCUUGUAUCUGUGAAUUUAUCUUCAUAUACGCAAUGAGCCUAUUUUUAUGUCAAUCUUAUGCUAGAAAGUCUUUCAUGUAAAUAUUUCUAAUGUAUUUUUAUCUUUUAUGUUAAAUGAACUAAUCCUUCUAAUUAUAUGUAAUAGCAGAGCAAUAUUAUGUUAAUCUAAAACAUUCAUUGCGCAAUUUGCCUCUCACGUUAUAAAGGUAUGUAUAUACUUAUGCAUGCAUGUAUGAAGAUUUACUUAAUGUUGUUAUUAGAAACUCAACCAGAUUAGUGAACAUGGUGUAGCAGGGGUUAAUUAAGAUCACUGUGAUGUCCAUUUGCUGUUCCAUGACUGCUCUGUAAAUCCUAUAUUGUGUUAAAAAAAAUCCUAAAUUUUGCUUAAAUAUCUAUAUGAACAGGGCCAUGUGAUUAACCUUUGACAUACUUGUGCAGGCUCAAGUUUAAGAUCAUACUUACAGGUUAAAUGUCAGAGUGACAGUUUGCUAUUUUGUGUCUGCUCUAUGAAUUUCUAUAAAUUCUAUUCCUGUCUAAGAAUUUUCUUGAAACUGGGCUCAGAUAUUCCGUCCUAAAAGGCAAUGCACAUAACUCAUAAUGCAGAUAUGGUAACUCAAGGUCAAGGUCACAUGUUUAGGUCAAAUGUUUACAUCAACAAGAUGAUGUGCUUAAUCUUUGUUGCCAAAUUGCAGCCCUUUUGUCAAGGUCAUACUUGAAUUCCAAUUGUUACACAAUUUUGUGUCCACUUUAAAACAUUUUAACCCUUGAAUUUCUUAAAACUUUGCUUAAAUGGGCCAAAUAAGGUUUAGAAAAGUUUUAGAUAUUUCACUUUUACUUUGGAAAGAAACACAAUUUCUCUUGUGUGCUUCAACAUGCACCCAUAUAUAAGUGUACUAGAGAGGCACUAGACUCAUGUUACUUUUAACUUCAACAAAAACUAUUUAUCAAAGUUUAGGAUUU